ACAGAGGGUGCGAGCGUUGUUCGGAAUUACUGGGCGUAAAGCGCGCGCAGGCGGCCUUUUAAGUCUGACGGUGAAAUGCCGGGGCUCAACCCCGUGCCCGCCGGAGAUACUGGGAGGCUGGAGACAGGUAGAGGCAAGCGGAAUUCCGGGUGUAGCGGUGGAAUGCGUAGAGAUCCGGAAGAACACCUGAGGCGAAGGCGGCUUGCUGGGCCUGAUCUGACGCUGAGGCGCGAAAGCGUGGGGAGCAAACAGGA
rnacentral:rRNA from 1 species